rnacentral:rRNA from 1 species
GACGAACGCUGGCGGCGUGCUUAACACAUGCAAGUCGAACGGAAAGGCCCUGCUUUUGUGGGGUGCUCGAGUGGCGAACGGGUGAGUAACACGUGAGUAACCUGCCCUUGACUUUGGGAUAACUUCAGGAAACUGGGGCUAAUACCGGAUAGGAGCUCCUGCUGCAUGGUGGGGGUUGGAAAGUUUCGGCGGUUGGGGAUGGACUCGCGGCUUAUCAGCUUGUUGGUGGGGUAGUGGCUUACCAAGGCUUUGACGGGUAGCCGGCCUGAGAGGGUGACCGGCGACAUUGGGACUGAGAGACGGCCCAGACGGCUACGGGAGGCAGCAGUGGGGAAUAUUGCACAGUGGGCGGAAGCCUGAUGCAGCGACGCCGCGGGCGGGAUGACGGCCUUCGGGGUGUAAACCGCUUUCGCCUGUGACGAAGCGGGAGUGACGGUAAUGGGUAAAGAAGCACCGGCUAACUACGUG